rnacentral:lncRNA from 1 species
UAGUUUUUCAAAAAAGUAUUAAAAAAAAAAAGAGAAACUUUAAAUAAUACCAUUGUGGUUUCGCACUUUCUCACUUUAAUACCAUAUAGUUUAAAGUUUAAAGUGUAUUAAUUUAGUAUCAUGUGGUUUUAUUUUUAUCUUUUUAUUAUCGAUUUCUUUAAUUUUUUUCGUUAAAUCAGUGACAAAGUUAAAACUAAAGGGAACUAAAGUGAAUAUUCGAUAAAUCUAUGUGGGGUAUCUGAAGUUUUUUUGUAUAUAAUUUAAUAAAAUAUUAACGAAAAAACUGACGAAAAUAUAAAAAUAAAACCACAGGGUACUAAAUUGAUACACUUUAAAUCACAUGGUACUAAAGUGAAAAAAUGCGAAACCAUAUGGGUGAUAUUUGAAGUUUACCCAAAAAAAGGGAUAAACUUUAAAAACUACCCCCGUGGUUUCGCACUUUCUCACUUUAAUACCCUGUGGUUUAAAGUGUAUCAAGUUCAUGUCCUGUGGUUUCAUUUUAAUCUUUUCGUCAGCUUUUUCGUUAAUAUUUUGUUAAAUUAUAUAAAAAAAAAAUUUCAGAUACCCCACCUAGAUUUAUCGAAUAUUCACUUUAGUGCCCUUUAGUUUUAACUUUGCCACUGAUUUAACAAAAAAAAAUUAGUAAAAUCGAUAAUAAAAAGAUAAAAAUGGAACCACACGACAGUAAAUUGAUACACUUUAAACCACAUAGCACUAAAUGAGAAAGUGUGAAACCACAGGGGUGGUAUUUGAAAUUUUUCCUAAAAUAUAUAUAGUAAUAAAUUAUUAUAAAAAUAAAAAAAUAUAUAUAAAUAAAUAUAUUUACUAUUUUUUUUUAAAUGAUAUCUCUACAUUCCAUAUAACUAGACCAUAA